UCAGUAGUGUAUAGUCUUCUAAAAAUUGCACAAUCAGGGGCCAUUGCUUAGGGUUUGAAGAGUCAAAAGUAGUUCUUCUCCACAGUAUUUAUGUGAAUAAACUUCACGUAGUAAUCAGGUCGUCGAGUGUUGCUUCAUUUGUUAGUUGAAUCUGAGGGAGAUA